GAUUUUGGGCCCAAGUGCUUCUUCCUAACAAUAAAACCUAAAACCCUACGUUUAUAAGUAAAAACCAGUGCUUUAGAUUUCCGCCUCUUUGCUCCUCCGCAGCGACAACUCUUGUGAUCUCUUUCUCUACCGAAUCAAAGCUUAGAUAAGAAAAGAUGGUCAGAGUUAGUGUGCUGAAUGAUGCUCUCAAGAGCAUGUACAAUGCUGAAAAGAGGGGAAAGCGUCAGGUCAUGAUUAGACCUUCAUCAAAAGUCAUCAUCAAGUUCCUCAUUGUUAUGCAGAAGCAUGGUUACAUCGGAGAAUUUGAGUACGUCGAUGAUCAUAGGUCCGGAAAGAUUGUUGUCGAACUGAAUGGAAGGCUAAACAAGUGUGGUGUCAUUAGUCCUCGCUUUGAUGUUGGAGUCAAGGAGAUUGAAGGAUGGACUGCUAGAUUGCUUCCUUCCCGACAGUUCGGGUACAUUGUGCUGACUACCUCAGCUGGUAUCAUGGACCACGAAGAGGCUAGGAGAAAGAAUGUUGGUGGAAAAGUUCUUGGUUUCUUUUAUUGAGUCAUGUUGAAAAGGAUGAAAACUUUGGUUUUGCUGUUUGUUGGCUCGUUGUAACCGACCUUUUUCUGUUUUUCUUUUUCUUGUUACCAUCAAAUUUAGUAGGGAAUUUAUUGAAAAUUUUGAGACAAUUAUCAGA